AGGCGGAUGAUCGCGGGUCCUUAGGGACACGAGGAAAGUCCGGGCUUCGAAGGGCAGGAUGCCGGAUAACGUCCGGCGGAGGUGACUCCCGGGACAGUGCAACAGAGAAUAACCGCGUCUUUGACGUAAGGGUGAAAAGGCGGUGUAAGAGACCACCGUGCACCUGGUAACAGGUGUAGCCGUGUAAACCCCAUCCGAAGCAAGACCAAAUAUGGAGACCAUGAGGCUGCCCGUCUCGUCUCCGGGUAGGUUGCUUGAGGCGGUCGGUAACGGCCGUCCUAGAUAGAUGAUCAUCUUAAAUGACAGAACCCGGCUUACAGCCUC
rnacentral:RNase_P_RNA from 1 species